AACGAACGCUGGCGGCAGGCUUAACACAUGCAAGUCGAACGCCCCGCAAGGGGAGUGGCAGACGGGUGAGUAACGCGUGGGAAUCUACCCAGUUCUACGGAACAACUGAGGGAAACUUCAGCUAAUACCGUAUACGCCCUACGGGGGAAAGAUUUAUCGGAAUUGGAUGAGCCCGCGUAAGAUUAGCUAGUUGGUGAGGUAAUGGCUCACCAAGGCGACGAUCUUUAGCUGGUCUGAGAGGAUGAUCAGCCACACUGGGACUGAGACACGGCCCAGACUCCUACGGGAGGCAGCAGUGGGGAAUAUUGGACAAUGGGCGCAAGCCUGAUCCAGCCAUGCCGCGUGAGUGAUGAAGGCCUUAGGGUUGUAAAGCUCUUUCAGUGGGGACGAUAAUGACGGUACCCACAGAAGAAGCCCCGGCUAACUUCGUGCCAGCAGCCGCGGUAAAAC
rnacentral:rRNA from 1 species